rnacentral:rRNA from 1 species
UACAGAGGGUGCGAGCGUUAAUCGGAAUUACUGGGCGUAAAGCGUGCGUAGACGGUUAUUUAAGUCGGGUGUGAAAGCCCCGGGCUCAACCUGGGAAUUGCAUUCGAGACUGAAUAGCUAGGGUACGGUAGAGGGAAGUGGAAUUUCCGGUGUAGCGGUGAAAUGCGUAGAUAUCGGAAGGAACAUCAGUGGCGAAAGCGACUUCCUGGACCAAUACUGACGCUCAUGUGCGAAAGCGUGGGGAGCAAACAGG